CCUACGGGAGGCAGCAGUGAGGAAUAUUGGUCAAUGGGCGGGAGCCUGAACCAGCCAAGUCGCGUGAGGGAAGACGGUCCUAUGGAUUGUAAACCGCUUUAGGCGGGGAGCAAUGCCGGGCACGCGUGCCCGGAGGGAGAGUACCCGCAGAAUAAGCAUCGGCUAAAUCCGUGCCAGCAGCCGCGGUAAUACGGAGGAUGCGAGCGUUAUCCGGAGUUAUUGGGUUUAAAGGGUGCGUAGGCGGAUUUUUAAGUCAGCGGUAAAAUGUCCGGGCUCAACCCGGGCCGGCCGUUGAAACUGGGGAUCUUGAGUGGGCGCGAAGUAUGCGGAAUGCGUGGUGUAGCGGUGAAAUGCAUAGAUAUCACGAAGAACUCCGAUUGCGAAGGCAGCAUACCGGCGCCCGACUGACGCUGAGGCACGAAAGCGUGGGGAUCGAACAGGAUUAGAUACCCCGGUAGUC
rnacentral:rRNA from 1 species